ensembl:lncRNA
CCACGAGGUCGCCGCCUUUCCGCACGUCGACCAUUGAAAUACAGGACGGGAAAGCGGGCACAAGACGUCAGACUGGUGUCUCUUCUUCUUUUUCUUCUUCUUCUUAUGCUUCCUCGGAGGGGGUAAAACGUGGCCUGGCUGGGCGACUUCUUUCGGUCAACAAUGGGUGAGGAUAAUCGUACAACAUUUGGGAGUCGUGCAAUAACCUGCGCAAAGUGCUAAAUAAACAGGGGCGGUGGUGGUGGUGAUGGACGCCGAUCUCCAACUUCGUACGCAGCCGCGGUCUUAAGACCAGACGGUCCCGUCAAAUUAGCAGUGUGCGUCGGAUCCCGGUCACCCGCUGCCCGCCGGGAUGCGGACGCCCACCGGGGAUCGCCCACCACGGGGAAGACAACAGCUCCUGCCAGUGUGCCUGUCCAGCACAGAGUCUACCUUAAAGAUCUCCUCACCAUCCUGAAAACCUUUAAGCUCUGUUCUGAAUUGCAUGUAGCUUAAAAGAACAUCCAGUCCCAUCCAGGAGGGAAAACCAUGAACAACACAGAGCCGUUUGGGGGAAGCAGCAUGCAACGUGUGGAGACAUCAGAGGUGCAGACUGUAUAUUUAGUGCAGAGCAAAUUCAGCGUUGCGUCGACUUCACAGCAGAUGUUUCUAGUCAAAAUAAAAGGAUGCAAUGAAUAACUCCCAACAAUGUGAUAUUGUAAUGCGGGAGGGGGGGAGUCUAUAUGCUAGACAAAUAUUUCGCAUUUUCAAAUGAAGAUGGUGAAACGUUAACACCGCAAGACAACACCAAACUAAGUGUAAUUAAGAACAUUUGAAUAAAUCAGUAAAAUGUGCAUUGUGGUAUGCUUGAUUGCAAUAAUGACACUGACGCUUGUUUUUUACCCCCUGUGUAUGUGUGUGUGUGUGUGUGUGUGUGUGUGUGUGUGUGUGUGUGCGAAAGUGUGCCCACUGCCAGUCAUCUUAACCUCAAGCAGUUUGUUGCUGACUGUAUGUCACCUAGCAAAGUGUUUUAAAGAUGUGCGUGUGUGUGUACAUGUGUGUGCGUGCAUGUGCAGACUCAAUCCUGAUCAUGGUGUCGUCAUGGAGACAGAAUGGUGUUCCUAUCAUUACUGUCCCUGCUCUACGCUUUUACAACAGACUUCUGAGUGCAAAGCAGGAAGGUAAACACUGUCCUUGGUAUUUACAGACGGAGGUAAGAGACGUUUAAAAGUCACACUCACCAACCACUAGUCUCUGAAAAAUGUCAGAAAUGUAAAUAGACCCCUUUUUUUACACUAUUUUGGCACUCGUGGCAUUUGUUGACAAAUGUCAUAAGAAUGUCGGAGUUGGAGAAGAACUUAAUCAAACACAGUAACAGUGUUGUUUGACAAAGUAUGGUAUGUAUUACAAAGUUGUGUGCACAAUGUGCAGUAGGCCUAUUCUCAUAAUAGUACUUGUAAUGGCAGUGUAUAGAAAAGUAACAUGGGUCAUAACUUCUAUUGUAUAAAAGUGCCAAUAACAUUGUUCAAUAAACUAAAACAAUUUUUUUUCAGCUCCAAAGUCUUAUUUGUAUCAGUUUAAAUAUCUUCUUUUAUGUAGCUUCUUUAUGUUGAUCUUGUUUUACAGAAAUGCAUUGUUCUAUUACCAAAAAUAAUUGAUGUGGUCAUAUUGUGGUCACAUGCAUUGUAUUGUAAUUGCUUAUUAAUAUUACUUUUUAAUGCGCUACAUUUUGUAAGUGAUCUAAAUAAAAAAGAAUAAAGGCUACUUCUUAGAAUUGAGUGUUGCGUUUUUCUCAAAUAUUGAACACAGGCAUCCGGUUCAGAUUAACUCGAGAAUGUAACAAGGCCCUUCUCCAAUUUGUCAGGAUAAAAUAUUCACACAUAAAUAAAAAAUAAAAUAAAUGUAUUAAUGUGAUACAACAAAGUUACCGCGGCAACAUAUGCAACAGUGCCAGGAUUAUGAAACAGACAGAUUCCAAGAACCACAAAGAAAUAUGAAAUGUGUUCAAUCUCCUGAUUCCACAACAGUUUGUAGCCUGAAGGUAAACGGUUAAAAAACAUCCAACCACAGGCCAAGCUUCACUGUGCGCUCUCCUUGAGUCGGCGAGGAGGUCUCUGGUCUGCCUCGUUAGUCAGUGGGACGCGAACCCACCACCAGCAGAGCCUGGCUUAGCUGAGUCCUGUUAAAACCUGCCAGGGGGAUGCCAGCUCCUCAAGUCACUGCACACACACACUUAGACAAAAACACAUGGACACAUACAGACGUAAAACCCACACAUUUGUGACAGUGUGUGUGUAUUCAUGGAUGUGUCUUGGCCUGUUUAUACUUCAGGAAUAACAAGACUGAAAGAUCAAUAGAAUUUGACCCAAAUGUGAGAUUGAAUUUAGCCGUCUCAUGGUGGAAAGAAAAUGGAGGGGAG